rnacentral:rRNA from 1 species
AGGGUUCGAUUCUGGCUCAGGAUGAACGCUGGCGGCGUGCUUAAUACAUGCAAGUCGAACGAAGCACCUGCGACGGAUCCCCUUCGGGGGAGAAGAUGCUUGUGACUUAGUGGCGGACGGGUGAGUAACGCGUGGGUAACCUGCCUUACGCAGGGGGAUAACAGUUAGAAAUGACUGCUAAUACCGCAUAAGCGCACGGGGCCGUAUGGCCGUGUGUGAAAAAGAUUUAUCGGCAUAAGAUGGACCCGCGUCUGAUUAGGUAGUUGGUGAGGUAACGGCCCACCAAGCCCGCGAUCAGUAGCCGACUUGAGAGAGUGAUCGGCCACAUUGGGACUGAGACACGGCCCAGACUCCUACGGGAGGCAGCAGUAGGGAAUAUUGCACAAUGGGGGAAACCCUGAUGCAGCGACGCCGCGUGAGUGAAGAAGUAUUUCGGUACGUAAAGCUCUAUCAGCAGGGAAGAUAAUGACGGUACCUGACUAAGAAGCCCCGGCUAACUACGUGCCAGCCGCGGC